rnacentral:rRNA from 1 species
GAUGAACGCUGGCGGCGUGCCUAAUACAUGCAAGUCGAGCGGUAAGGCCCUUCGGGGUACACGAGCGGCGGGACGGCUGAGUAACGCGUGGGAACAUGCCCCAAAGUGAGGGAUAACGCACCGAAAGGUGUGCUAAUACCGCAUAUGGUCUUCGGAUUAAAGGAUUUAUCCGCUUUGGGAGUGGCCCGCGUACGAUUAGAUUGUUGGUGAGGUAACGGCUCACCAAGUCGACGAUCGUUAACUGGUCUGAGAGGAUGAUCAGUCAGACUGGAACUGAGACACGGUCCAGACUCCUACGGGAGGCAGCAGUAAGGAAUCUUCCACAAUGGGCGAAAGCCUGAUGGAGCAACGCCGCGUGCAGGAUGAAGGCCCUCGGGUCGUAAACUGCUUUUAUGAGUGAAGAAUAUGACGGUAACUCAUGAAUAAGCACCGGCUAACUACGUGCCAGCAGCCGCGGUAAU